GGAGUCUGUAGCAGCAAUUUGCUGCGCUCGGUGAUGUCGCCUCCGAUAUGGUAGGGAAGGCCGCAGUUGGCAAACGAGACAAAUUCACCGCGCUCGAACAUGAUGAUUUCAGCAUCUUCGCUCAAGCGGCGGGCACGUGCGGCAGCGGAGGCUCCGCCUGCCACACCGC
rnacentral:antisense_RNA from 21 species